ACAAGUGAUUUUGAAUUGUAUCCUGGACAUUUUGGGUAUUAUGUUAUGAGACUCUGGAUCUUAUUUAAAUCUUCUGCUUUAGCAGUCUCCCUUUGAUACUGCCCUGAUGGGAUGUCUUCUCAUUACCACCAGGUGGGGGUAGAAUUCCAGGCUCCCCUUUUGGCUGUUGACAUCUUGGGAGGGGGGCAGGAGUGAAAAUGCGGGCUCCGCACUAAGUAUCUGCUGAUACCACCCUAUGACAUGUCAUUCCUUGAGUCUUCGGGUCCCUAGCCUUCUUCUCUUUACCUUUCAGAGUCUUUUUAUGUUUGUUUUUUAUGUAAUGUCCAGGGCUUUUAGAAGUACUUAGCCAGAAUAGGGAGAAGUGCAUCUGCUUCAUCUUGUCUGGAACUGGAAGUUCAUGCAAAAAAUAUGAGAGAGGAGAGGAAUCACCGACCACGAGUGUGGAAAGUUUUGCAGGUCUGAGACCAAUUGUUUUUGAAGCCCUCUUACACCAUUAAAAGCUAUUGAGAACUUCAAAGAGCUUUUGAUUUUGAGAGUUAUAUCUAUCCAUCACUACUGUAUCAGAAAUCGACUGAGAACAUUUAAAAUUAUCUAUUAAUUCAUUUUGAAACAAUAAUGAUCUCAUUAUGUGAGAACAUACGUAGCACAUAGUUUAAUGAAAAAUAAUGAUAUUUUCCAAAACGGAAGCAAUUAGGGAGAAGAGUGGCUUUGUUUUACAUUUUGGCAAAUCUGUUCAAUAUCUGGCUUAAUGGGAGACUGCUGAUUCUCUUCCAUGUUUCUGUGUUCCAUCUGUUGUCAUAGUGCAUGCCAUGUAGGCUCUAGAACAUUCCACUGACUUAUGAGAGAAUGAAAAUGAAAAAGGUAAAUAACAUUUUAAGAUUAUUUUGAAGAUAGUUUUGACCUUAGAGACCCCUGGAAAUGUUUUGGGGAUACCCCGGGUCACACUUUGAGAACUGCUGUGCUAGAAUUGCUCUUGCCACAUGCAGCUACUGAGCACUUAAGAUGUGGCUAAUGUGAAUGAGGAACAGAACUCUUAAUUUUAUUUAAUUUUAAUUAAUUCAAAUUUUAAAACUGGAGCAGUAUAAACUUCUUAUUUUUUGGGGGGGAGAUAUAACAUUAUUGCUUUGGUGGGAACACAUUUCACUUUAACCUUUGAAAAUUUAGCAUCUGAAUUAAGAUGUGCUGUAUGUGUUAAAUACACACCAGAUUUUGAGAACUUAGAAAAAAGGAAUAUAAGACACCUCAUUAAUAAUUUUUAUACUGGGUUUGUGUUGCUAUGAUAUUUUUAAUAUAUUGGGUUAAAUAAAAUGUAUUUUUUAAACUAACUUCACCUGUAAUUUAAAAAAAUUUUUUUAAAUGUGGCUAUUAUAAAUUUAGAGCUACAUAUAUUGCUCAUGUAUUUCUACUGGGCAAUGCUGCUCUAGAUGAAUCUGGAUGAUGAAGGCUCUGUCUGCCGUGUGAAGUUUAUUCUUUAUUUUGAAGGUAAUGCAAAACCAUUGGAAAGUCUGAAGUAGGGAAGUGACAUAAUCAGAUCUCCACUGUCGAAAGUUCUCUUUGCAGCAGCGUGGAGCGUGGAUUGAAGGAGGAACCGUUAGGAGAUGAUUGCACUCUUGAAGAUACAGGAAACUUGUGGCCUGAAGAAAAGCGGCUAAAUUGGAGACAUACUGGGGAGAUGGAGAAGCCAUUUGUCAUGUCAUGAGCAGCCCUAUGGAAAGGUCCAUGUGCUAAAGAACCGAAACUCUGUCAACAGCCAUGUGAGGGAGCUUGAAAGAAGAUCUUCAUGAAUGAAUGAAUGAAUGAAUGGAUGGAUGAAAGACUAAAUAAGUAAAGAAAUAAAUAAGACUGCAAUCUCACAAGAGAUCCUGAGCCAGAACAGCCCAGCUAAACUAUUCCACCCAGCUAAACUGAGCCCAAAUUCCUGACGGUGAGAUAUGUGUGAUAAUCAACACUGUUUUAAGCUGCUAAGUUUUGGGGUAACUGUCAUGCAGCAACAGAUAACUAAUACAGAUGCCGCAAAGUAGACUUAGAAGGGUAGUCAAGGAGCUAUGAAAUCUUUGAGACUGGCGUCUUGAGAAAACCAGGAAGAGAAUAUUUCAUGGAGGAAGAUAUGGUAUACAGUAUCAAGUGCUAUCAAGUGGUAGAGGAAUGAAAUUUUCAACAAAGGGGUGGUUGCUGACCUUGGUGAAAGCAAUCAGUAGAGUAUGGGAGGGCAGAAACCCGAUUAUAGUAGACUGAAGAGUUAGUAAUAAUAAAAGCUAUAAUUUUUA